AAAGAAUGCCAACAUCAAGACAGACCAUGAUGUCUCGUGUGGGACUGCUGCGUUCACAGAUGGAAGAGGUGAAGGUUUAGUGGAGGGAUCCCAUUUUCUAUGUAUAAGAUGCAGAGACAACUUAAGGGAGCUAUUUCAGGAUAUAUUUGGGUAAAACUAAAUACACAGUAUGAACUCCCCAUGAUAAAAAUAUAGCCCACUAUAGUGAUGACACUUGCUAUACUCUAGUUAGGAGAUUUGUAAAGCUAAUUAAAAAUAAUUACUGUGACACCAAAAAAUAGAAACUAUAUAUCUGGUUGUGCAUGUGAGCACAAGAAUUUGUUUCUUAUUUUUAAGCUCAGCUUUUGGCAAGCUUUGUCCAUCUGUACAGCUUACAGUCUCAAGAGGUUUAUUAAAUUUGGGAAAUAUGCCAGCUAGCCAAUAAUUCAAAGUUUAAAAUAACAGGGAUAGAGAAUACUUCAGACAACCAUUUUUAGCUCAAAUAAGAAAUCUUGACUUUAAUUCUGAAUUCAGUGUUUUUCUUCAAAAUCUGCAGUAUCAGGAUCACUUAGGAUGAACACACCUGCUGAAUUUAUUUUGAUAAAUGCAUAGUUUGUGUUUUGUUGGUGUUAAAAAUACGUUAUUCAAAACAUUUGAGCAUACAUCCAGAGUCUAUCACCCUCCAAAAUACCUUUCAACUGUUGAAAGACAGUUUAUAAAUUCUAACAAACCCUUGUGUGGUGCACAGGAGACAGAAGUGGAGG